AAUGAACGUUGGCGGCGUGGAUUAGGCAUGCAAGUCGUGCGCGAAUCGUAGCAAUACGAGGAGAGCGGCGAAAGGGAGAGGAUAGCAUAGAUACCUACCCUCGGACCUGGGAUAGCUAUGGGAAACUAUAGGUAAUACCAGAUAAUGUCUCCGGACCAAAGGUGUGAUUCCGUCCGGGGAGGGGUCUAUGUCCUAUUAGCUUGUUGGUGAGGUAACGGCUCACCAAGGCAAAGAUGGGUACGAGGCGUGAGAGCGUGUCCUCGCUCACUGGGACUGAGACACUGCCCAGACACCUACGGGUGGCUGCAGUCGAGAAUCUUCGGCAAUGGGCGCAAGCCUGACCGAGCGACGCCGCGUGUGGGAUGAAGGCCUUCGGGUUGUAAACCACUGUCAGUGCGGAGGAAAUAUAGUGGGGUUCUCCCCAUUAUUUGACCUAUGCGCAGAGGAAGGACGGGCUAAGUUCGUGCCAGCAGCAGCCGCCG
rnacentral:rRNA from 1 species